AAUUCCAGGUGUAGCGGUGAAAUGCGUAGAGAUCUGGAGGAAUACCGGUGGCGAAGGCGGCCCCCUGGACAAAGACUGACGCUCAGGUGCGAAAGCGUGGGGAGCAAACAGGAUUAGAUACCCUGGUAGUCCACGCCGUAAACGAUGUCUACUUGGAGGUUGUGCCCUUGAGGCGUGGCUUCCGGAGCUAACGCGUUAAGUAGACCGCCUGGGGAGUACGGCCGCAAGGUUAAAACUCAAAUGAAUUGACGGGGGCCCGCACAAGCGGUGGAGCAUGUGGUUUAAUUCGAUGCAACGCGAAGAACCUUACCUGGUCUUGACAUCC
rnacentral:rRNA from 1 species